AGCAAACGCUGGCGGCGUGCCUAAUACAUGCAAGUCGAACGAGGAAAGCACUUCGGUGCGAGUAUGAGUGGCGCACGGGUGAGUAACGCGUGGAUAAUCUGCCCUCUAGUGGGGAACAACCUAUCGAAAGGUAGGCUAAUACCGCAUAAGACCACAGUUUCUGCGGAAACAGUGGUCAAAGAUUUAUCGCUAGAGGAUGAGUCCGCGUAGGAUUAGUUUGUUGGUGAGGUAAUGGCUCACCAAGACUACGAUCUUUAACUGGUUUGAGAGGAUGAUCAGUCACACUGGAACUGAGACACGGUCCAGACUCCUACGGGAGGCAGCAGUAGGGAAUAUUGCGCAAUGGGGGAAACCCUGACGCAGCGACGCCGCGUGAGUGAUGAAGGCCUUAGGGUCGUAAAGCUCUGUCGUGAGGGAAUAAUUUUGAAGGUACCUCACAAGAAAGGACCGGCUAACUUCG
rnacentral:rRNA from 1 species